AGUGAACGCUGGCGGUAGGCCUAACACAUGCAAGUCGAACGGCAGCACAGUAAGAGCUUGCUCUUACGGGUGGCGAGUGGCGGACGGGUGAGGAAUACAUCGGAAUCUACUUUUUCGUGGGGGAUAACGUAGGGAAACUUACGCUAAUACCGCAUACGACCUACGGGUGAAAGCAGGGGAUCUUCGGACCUUGCGCGAUUGAAUGAGCCGAUAUCGGAUUAGCGAGUUGGCGGGGUAAAGGCCCACCAAGGCGACGAUCCGUAGCUGGUCUGAGAGGCUGAUCGGCCACACUGGAACGGAGACACGGUCCAGACUACUACGGGAGGCAGCAGUGGGGAAUAUUGGACAAUGGGCGCAAGCCUGAUCCAGCCAUACCGCGUGGGUGAAGAAGGCGUUCGGGUUGUAAAGCCCUUUUGUUGGGAAAGAAAAGCAGCAGCUUAAUACCCCGCUGUUCUGACGGUACCCAAAGAAUAAGCACCGGCUAACUUCGUG
rnacentral:rRNA from 1 species